rnacentral:misc_RNA from 1 species
GGGGAAGGAAAAAAAAAAGGGCCAAUGUUCUAUUAAUUAGCAAGAAAAUGACAAAUUUCAAACAAUGACAGAAAUGACCAGACUGAUUGAAACAAUGAAGACAAGAGAGCUAAGGUUGUUGAAAUGUCAUGGGGAGUGUUCUUGUCAUGAUAGAAAGUCAAAAGUUUAAGAAGAUAAAUGAGAAGAAACAACUUUGGAUUCUGUUUUUCUUCUUCUUCUUCAUUCUUACCUG